rnacentral:rRNA from 1 species
CUAAUUAGGGAAUAUGGUUGACUAGAAGCCAUAUUUGGAAAGGGAAAUGAAAGUUGGUCAACGGUGACAAUUCUGCCUUCAUGCGGGAAACAAAAGACUCGAAAGGGUGUUGAAACAAUAGCUCCCAUAUCAUAAACAUAGUCGCGCCCAAGAAGCAAAUUGUAAUCUAAAGGGCCCGGGACUACCAUCACAUUCAAAUAUAUGAUUUUUCCUCCCAAAGUAAUAGGUAACUGAGGUAGGAUCCCUAAUGGUUGACUGGUUCCUCUGUUAAAAGCCAACAGAUUCUGGGUAACUAGCACAAGCAACGGUGAACCGAGCGCUUGCCAAGUAGUUGAGGAAAGGAUACUCACUGAUGCACCUUCAUCUAUAAUAGUGCUAGGUAUAAUCAUAUUACAAACUUGUAAUAUGAUCUGGAAAGGCACAUAAGAAGGAAAACGGAAUCCUGCCAAUCGAUUCCAAUCAAAGGAAGUGACGAGACUACUUGGAGGGGGUAACAUAGAAACCGAAGAAUUAACCCCUUGAGUUACGAGAGCGGGAGGAUUUUCCUCCUAUCUUGUUGGAACAGGAGGAUUGCCCCCAAGCUCAUUAGAAUCUAAAGAAACAAAAAGAACUUGAGUGGUAUCAUAUUCACUCUCUUCGGGACAGGUAAGACUAGCUGAAGGUGAAAUCGGGUCAACUGUUACCUCGACCUAUGGAUUUGGGUUGGGUGUAGACUCAUACGGUUCACUUUCAUAGAGAGUGGGUUUGACUAACGGUUGAUUUUGGUUAGUCAAUUCAUCAACUAGUGAAGGAUUUAGGGAGAGUUUCCUGUAACCAAAUGGAAGUCACUGCAGGAAAUGGAAUCGGGCUAAUAUUCCCAAAUCGGGACAUGGCGGCGUGUGGCAACGUUAUCUUUUCUUUUUAGCAACUUUCCCACCCCAGAAUCGGUUAACCCAGAGAUAGAUUCCAACAGCUGGAAGAGCACCGCACGCCUUACGGUAUCCGGUGUGCCCUCUGCAACCCUUGAAAAUCUGGAGGACCAAGUAUCGUUCAUGCCCGUUCAUACUCAUAACCACAUCAGGUCUCCAAGCUGAAUAGCCUCUGGUCAAUAGAAUAAUGUAGGUAAGGGAAGUCAACAAAACAAAUUUGUAACUUCAAGAAAAGGAUUGGCUCUGAGGGAUGGGCCUAGGGGUUUGUGCCAUAAACUCAUGGUUUUUCGGCAGUCUGCCUGAGCUUCUCUCAUGGUGAGGGCAGGUAGUCACAUGCCGAUUAGGCUAUAGGAGUAGAAUUCCCCCUAUUGGGGACUUUUCCCUAGGCGAAAAAUAGUUGACUCAGAACUGGUACAGACAAGGGGAAUCUGACUGUUUAAUUAAAACAAAGCAUUCUGAUGGUCCCUGUAGAUGUUGAUGCAAUGUGAUUUCUACCCAGUGCUCUGAAUGUCAAAUUGAAGAAAUUCAACCAAGCAUGGGUAAAUGGUAGGAGUAACUAUGACUCUCUUAAGGUAUUCAAAUGCCUCGUCGUCUAAUUAGUGACACGCAUGAAUGGAUUAACGAGAUUCCCACUAUCCCUAUCUACUAUCUAAAUAAUCCACAGGCAAGGGACCAGGCAUGGUAGAAUCAACGAGGAAAGAAGACCCUGUUGAGUUUGACUCUAGUCCGACUUUGUUUAAUGACUUGAGAGGUGUAGAAAAAGUGGGAGCCAUUUUCAGUGCAAGUGAAAUACCACUACUUUUAAUGUUAUUUUACUUAUUCUGUGGGGUGGAGAUGGGGCACUGGCUGUGUUUUUGGCCUUAAGGUACAUUUCGACGUGUCUAUCCAGUUGGAAGACAUUGUCUGGUGGGGAGUUUGGCUGGGGCAGUACAUCUGUUAAAAGAUAACACAGGUGUCCUAAGAUGAGCUCAACAAGAAUAGAAAUCUUGUGUGGAACAAAAGUGUUCAUAUCAACGUUGAUUUUUGAUCCUUCGAUGUCGACUCUUCCUAUCAUUAUGAAGUAGAAUUCACCAAGUGUUGGAUUGUUCACCCACUAAUAGGGAAUGUGAGCUGGGUUUAGGCUUUCAUGAGACAGGUUAGUUUUACCCUACUGAUGAACUGCACCUAAAUAGCACUAUUUUGGCUUCAUCCAGAUAGGGACAAAGGUGAAUAGGGUGAUUCCCUUCACAUAACCUAUAGGGAAACUUAACUUUACCCUUAUUUCCAUGAACUUUACUACCACUAGUUGAUGGUGUGUCACCAGCAUGAUCUCCAGAAGUUGAUGAAACAGGAUGAUGAGAACGGGAAGACCAUUAUUCUAAGAUCUGAGGAAUAUUAGGACAAUUUCGAAGAAGAUGGUCUCCAGCACAAAGUUUGCAUGGAUAUCGAACUUUGUGAGGCUUAACGGACAGUUUCCCAUCAGAUGUUGCAUUCAAAUUAAUGGUUGCUUGAUUGCCUCUCUACUGAAUUUGUUUCUUCUUCUUCUUCUUCCCUUUCUUCUUCUUCU